GGAUGCGAUCAUACCAGCACUAAAGCACCGGAUCCCAUCAGAACUCCGAAGUUAAGCGUGCUUGGGCGAGAGUAGUACUAGGAUGGGUGACCUCCUGGGAAGUCCUCGUGUUGCAUCCC
rfam:Oryza sativa Indica Group cultivar 93-11 Ctg037480, whole genome shotgun sequence.